rnacentral:tRNA from 1 species
UGGGAUUUAGCUCAGUGGUUCAGUGGUCUGCCUUGGAAGCACAAGGACCCGAGUUCAAUCCCCGGUAUCCAAA